AGUUUGUCUGUAUUAAGCCCUGUUAGGGUUUUUGAAUAAAGUUAAUAAAACUAAGUUGUAAAGAGUAUAAUACCUUUUUGUAUUUUAUUUAAUUUAGUAACCAGCAACCAACAUUAAAGAACCAUAUAAAGGGAUCACUGUUCAUCCUGUUUUUAACACAUAUCUCUUUCAACUUAAUAUCUUGGAUAUUUGGUAUAUUUAAAGCUUUAUAAUGGUGAAGUAUCGAUACAAAUUAUUUUGUUCAAACUAAACUGUCAUUAAAAGAGUAAGACAGUACAUCAAGUUAGCAGCAACACAUACACUUUUGUUCAGUUGGUUAAUAAAUGUAUUAAGAAAUGGGUGUUUUUAUAAUGGCCCUGUUAUAUGUCCUCG
rnacentral:lncRNA from 1 species